rnacentral:lncRNA from 1 species
GGCCACCCUGGUAAUUAUGAUCUUUCCUGAGCCUGCAGAGCUGCUGGGAAUAAAGGCAUGCACCACUGUGCCCAGCUCUAAAUUUGUUUUAAAUAGAUUUUAAUAUAUAAACUGUUCACAUAUGAAAUUUGGUAUGAAAGGUAGGCAAAUAGAGGUCAAUGUUGAAUCCUACCUUCUUUAUUUAUGAGAAUGAAAUUUCACAGGUUGAGUUUUCAUAAGGCAUUACUGCAGUUCAUAUAUACACACACUUCAUCCACAAAAACAGACUAAGUUUUGACCUUCACAUUUUCUUUAUUAUUGAGUGUACCUGGUCAUACCCUAAGCUUCAGCUCUAAAUGCAUUUAUUAAAGGGCAGCUUUACUAAAUAAGUGAAAAAUGGUUUCAGAUAGAUAGAAUUCUGAUAAGCCAAGAAAAAAAUGCAAAAAAAAUUUCAGGGGGCUGGGGUAGCUUAGUGGUAGAUAGCUUGCACUUGUCUGGCACAUGUGAGUCACUGGGUUCAAUCCUUAGCACCACAUAAAAACAAACGUAUCCACCUAUAAUAAAUUUUUUUUUAAUUAAAAAAAAUUUUCAAUAUGUUUGCCCUUAACUUUUAAGGAGCUAGUUGAAUCUCAUGAGCUCUUCCUUCCCAUAAGAAUAAAUUUUUGAGUUCAACAAUUAUGAAUUUCUUUCAGAAAUUUAUAUUCUUUGCCCUAAUUUCCUUUUUGGUCUCUGCUAUACUGGUGUUUAAGGGUUAUCUCCUGUCAUUAUUAGUAUUCUUGCAACCUAUAAUAUAAAGGACUUAAGUCAGCCCUCUGGUAUCUGACCAGUUUAGUUUUAUUAGUUAAAAUGCAAAACUUCCAUAGCAAUCAUGAUUUAUGGAAAAAAAUUUAAUUGUCUGUGUCACCUCUGGGAUACUGCUGACCAAAGCUAUAUGGCC